rnacentral:miRNA from 1 species
GACGAAUAUAACACAGAUGGCCUGUUUUCAGUACCACCCACCCCUCGUG